rnacentral:lncRNA from 1 species
AUGAAUAAAGUAAAGUUUUCCAGGGUGUUUAAACAUACAGCUGAGUUAAUUCCACAUUCAGAGUUUCUUUUUUUUUUUUUUUUUUUUUUUUUUUUUAGUUUCAACUCAGCUGAACUGUUACUCAAAGGAUGGAUAUAUUUGUGUUCAUAUACUGGUCGUUUUGGAAAAGUAUGUUACAUUAAGGAAGCAAUCUUCAUUUUCUGUUGUUUUUCGUUGGAGAAGAACUUUCCAUGUAGGGAGGUAGGUGACAAGCACACAGAGCUCGCUGCUAAACUACUGCAACCAGGCAUGAUAUGGUGA